GAUGAACGCUAGCGGCAGGCCUAAUACAUGCAAGUCGAACGGUGUAGCAAUACACAGUGGCGCACGGGUGCGUAACACGUAUGCAACCUACCUUACAUUGGGGGAUAGCCUUUCGAAAGGGAGAUUAAUACCGCAUAAGACAGUAACUAGGCAUCUAGUCGCUGUUAAAGAUUUAUCGAUGUAAGCUGGGCAUGCGUCCAAUUAGGUAGUUGGUGAGGUAAUGGCUCACCAAGACGAUGAUUGGUAGGGGAACUGAGAGGUCAAUCCCCCACACUGGCACUGAGAUACGGGCCAGACUCCUACGGGAGGCAGCAGUAGGGAAUAUUGGGCAAUGGGCGCAAGCCUGACCCAGCCAUGCCGCGUGCAGGAAGAAGGCGUUAUGCGUUGUAAACUGCUUUUAUACAGGAAGAAACGACCCUUGCGAGGGGCAUUGACGGUACUGUAUGAAUAAGCACCGGCUAACUCCGUGCCAGCCGCCGCGGUAACAC
rnacentral:rRNA from 1 species